GGGGGGGGGGCGGGGUCGUCUAGCGGGUGGAGCCCGGUCCCGGGAGUCGCAGGAUCCGGGUUCCAGUGCCGGCACCGUCCCGGGUCCGCCCCGUCACCUCCGGGCGAGUCGGCCGGGUUCUCGGGGCCUCGCCCGCCUUGGCCGUCGAGCGAGGGUCGGUCCCCCACCCCUCCGACCUGGGGCGGCGUCUAGCGAGCGCCGACCGCGCGCGGGGCACCGUCCCGGGCGCUCGGGACGGACGGCGUCCGGCUCCGUCAACCCGGAUCCGCCCCGGCGGUCGGGCGGAGGAUACGAGCCGACGGGGUCGGCGCUUCCCGGAUACCCUCGCUCUUGUGGCCGCCGCCAUCAUGAACAGAGAGCGUCGCUGUUAUCGUCGCCGGCGUCGUCGUUUUAAAAAUCCCAUCGGCCGUAUCGAGCGCCCAGCAGAGUGGCCGGCGCCCCGUCACGCUCACGACAGCGCCCGGGCACGUGAUCGGACGGAGCGCCGGGGAGGAUGCCGGGAAACCGGAUUUAGCGCUCAACACGGACCGUCGCCGUUAUCGUCGUUAAUGACAGACGGCAUCGCCGUGAUCCCUAACCAACACCACCCCGCUUCUCGAGCGCCGGGCACGGCGCCCGGCCCGUCGCGCCGGAGCGGAUACGAGGAAAUCGGAUCGAGCGUCUGACGCCUGCCAUCGUUAUCGCAGUCAGCACGA